AAUUAGUACUGAAAGAUCCUGCAGUGAGAAGCCUUUGAAGCUCACUUCUCAGAGGUGCUGUUGUCAUGACAGAUAAAAUGAGCUGGCACAAAGGAAAGAAGGAACUCACAGAAGAAAGCAUGGGAGAUGGGAAGCACAGCCGAAAAAAGCGAGAGCGACUAUUCAAGAAGAGAUUUUCUGGAUUGAGCCUCUUCUCUGGGUCUCCUAAGAAUAAACUCCCUCAGGGAAGAAGUCAGCUUCUUGAAGACAAGAGGAGAUGUUUACACAGGAAAGGUUCCAAAAAACUGAAGGCAGCGAGGGAGGAAAUAUGUUCUGUAAGGCAGCCCCACUCUGGGAAAAUGUGUCCGAAAUGUGAAAUCCUCGUCUGCCCCAAGUGUGAGACUCUGCACUCAGAACGGAGCUUCAUUGCCCACAGCCUGCUCGAUCACUACGACAAAGGUGACGCGGUCUGCAGAAAGUCAAGUAUGUAGAGGUCAUUAAAGAUUUGCUGUGGGUGCCUUGUGGGUACCCGACUACAUCCAAAAUGCUGAAGCUAGGGUCCAUUCAGGGUGACUGGAUCAUCACCCCAUGCAGUCUGUGUGCAGCAGUUACAACCAUAACUGUAGUUCAUACUUGCUAUAUGUAACAGAUGUACGUUCACCAAUUUAACUAGCAUAAACUCUGCAAACAAAGAUUUGUAAGUAGGAGCUAGAAGUUUCUCAGCUAUUAAGAACAGGGAAUUGUUUCAGAAACAUUUUCAAAGAGUUUUCUUUUUCCUCUCAAGGAAACAAGGUUAUCCCAUUGAGCUGCAAAAGAGAAAAUGAGUAUUAAAUGCAGAACCCCUGGGUGAUUACACUUGUUCGUAGUGCCUAGCUAUGUUUCAGUGCUGUUUGUGGUCUGGAAUAUUAAACUUUUGAUUUAUUUUUAAAUUUA